GGGGAAUAUUGGACAAUGGGGGAAACCCUGAUCCAGCAAUACCGCGUGUGUGAAGAAGGCCUUCGGGUUGUAAAGCACUUUAGGUUGGGAAGAAGGUAUGUAGUUUAAGAGAUAACAUAUUUGACUGUACCAACAGAAUAAGCACCGGCUAACUCUGUGCCAGCAGCCGCGGUAAUACAGAGGGUGCAAGCGUUAAUCGGAGUUACUGGGCGUAAAGGGCGCGUAGGUGGUUGUAUAAGUGAGAUGUGAAAGCCCUGGGCUUAACCUAGGAACUGCAUCUUAUACUGUGCAACUGGAGUACUGUAGAGGGUAGUGGAAUUUCCGGUGUAGCGGUGAAAUGCGUAGAGAUCGGAAGGAACACCAGUGGCGAAGGCGGCUACCUGGACAGAUACUGACACUGAGGCGCGAGAGCGUGGGGAGCAAAC
rnacentral:rRNA from 1 species